rnacentral:rRNA from 1 species
AUUGAACGCUGGCGGCAUGCCUUACACAUGCAAGUCGAACGGUAACAGGGAGCUUGCUCCGCUGACGAGUGGCGAACGGGUGAGUAAUAUAUCGGAACGUGCCCUAGAGUGGGGGAUAACGUAGCGAAAGUUACGCUAAUACCGCAUACGAUCUACGGAUGAAAGUGGGGGAUCGCAAGACCUCAUGCUCAUGGAGCGGCCGAUAUCUGAUUAGCUAGUUGGUAGGGUAAAAGCCUACCAAGGCUUCGAUCAGUAGCUGGUCUGAGAGGACGACCAGCCACACUGGGACUGAGACACGGCCCAGACUCCUACGGGAGGCAGCAGUGGGGAAUUUUGGGACAAUGGGGGCGAACCCUGAUCCAGCAAUGCCGCGUGAGUGAAGAAGGCC